AGUGAACGCUGGCGGUAGGCCUAACACAUGCAAGUCGAACGGCAGCACAGUAAGAGCUUGCUCUUACGGGUGGCGAGUGGCGGACGGGUGAGGAAUACAUCGGAAUCUACUUUUUCGUGGGGGAUAACGUAGGGAAACUUACGCUAAUACCGCAUACGACCUACGGGUGAAAGCAGGGGAUCUUCGGACCUUGCGCGAUUGAAUGAGCCGAUGUCGGAUUAGCUAGUUGGCGGGGUAAAGGCCCACCAAGUCGGCGAUCCGUAGCUGGUCUGAGAGGAUGAUCAGCCACACUGGAACUGAGACACGGUCCAGACUCCUACGGGAGGCAGCAGUGGGGAAUAUUGGACAAUGGGCGCAAGCCUGAUCCAGCCAUACCGCGUGGGUGAAGAAGGCCUUCGGGUUGUAAAGCCCUUUUGUUGGGAAAGAAAAGCAGCAGGUUAAUACCCCGCUGUUCUGACGGUACCCAAAGAAUAAGCACCGGCUAACUUCGUG
rnacentral:rRNA from 1 species